UACAAAGGGGCUAGCGUUGCUCGGAAUCACUGGGCGUAAAGGGUGCGUAGGCGGGUCUUUAAGUCAGGGGUGAAAUCCUGGAGCUCAACUCCAGAACUGCCUUUGAUACUGAGGAUUCUUGAGUUCGGGAGAGGUGAGUGGAACUGCGAGUGUAGAGGUGAAAAUUCGUAGAUAUUCGCAAGAACACCAGUGGCGAAGGCGGCUCACUGGCCCGAUACUGACGCUGAGGCACGAAAAGCGUGGGGAGCAAACA
rnacentral:rRNA from 1 species